AGGCCCCAGUGAGGAGACGAAGGGAAGUUCUGGUGUGAGGAUGGCGGUGUCCUGAGAGGGGGGAACAGGACCCAACAGGCCUGCCUCUUUGCCGCUGUCCCAGGGGAAGGGGCCGUGGUGUCCCUGACUUUCCCUCCAGGACUUCCUGAUGUGGAGACCACAGCCCCUGGCCUGGCGGUAGCAAGCGUUUGCAUCACCAGCACAGCCCUCUCUAUGCACAUUCUGUCCAGCGGCUGGGAGUCACCGAGAUGAAGACUACAGGCUCGACACAGAAGGUAGCCAGCAAUUCCAACGCUCACUGCUGCAUUGGGUCUCCUUACUCCGGGCCAGCCCAGCACCUCCAGGCACAGAGCCCACGGGCAGCAAAGGGCCUACGGACGUCCCGCCAGGAACAGCCAUGCAGCAGGGGCAGGAGGCGGGGUGCACUUCUUCCGCAGUCUUUUCAGAAACAGAGGAACCUGCCAGUGACAUCAAGAAAAAAACUGAUAUUCUGCUAAAGGCUGUGGGAGACACCCCUAUCAUGAAAACAAAGAUGUGGGCUGUGAAGCGAACCCAAGGACUCACUGCCUUCAUCAAAAAGUUCCUUAAACUUGUGGCUUCAGAACA